GGCUUCUCUCGGCUCCCGGCUGCCUUUUCCUCUGUGGCCUCGGUCGGUGCCGGAGCUCUGCGGCCGAGCUCUGGAAGCGUGCGGUUGUGGAUUUUGGACAGAUGCCGCAUCAGGAUGACUUGAAAGUAGGGCAUCCUUGGCCCUCCUGAAGAGAGGAAAUGAGUGGCAGGUGGAUAGUCUGUAUAUGGAGUGUUCAGGUGCCUUCACCAGAGUGAGAAACCUGCCUCCACUGGGACCUCAGAGCAAUCUUGUUUAAUUUCAGUUUUUGACAUUGGUUCCUGACCAGAGCUCCUAAAGCCCACGGAAUUUCCCAGGUGAUAGGAAUGUCUUGUAAUGGGAUGAUCACCAGAAAGACCAAGGACUGAAACGUAGAAUUUUCAGCCCCACCUCCUAUUCUCCAGAGAAGGUUUAGGGGCUGGAAAUGGAGUUGAUAAUUGGUCAUGCCUAUGUGAUGAAUGAAGCCUUCAUAAAAAUCCCAAUAGUGUGGGAUUCCAAGAACUUCUCAGAGUUGAAAGAACUACUGUCAAAUGGACUUUUGCAUUGAAAUUUUGGGUUACAUCUCAAAUUUUAAUCAGGAAAACAAAAUCCCAGAGUUAUAAAUUCUGCGGGCUCCUAGAAAUUCACACAAAGGAAAAUAACCUGAUAAGAGCAACUAAUUAAGAACUUUAAAAAGUGACAAUGAUUCCUGUCACAGUCGUCCCUCGCCACUUCACGCUUCGACUCUUGCGGUUUU